AAGCGUGCGUAGGCGGCUUUUUAAGUCGGAUGUGAAAUCCCCGAGCUUAACUUGGGAAUUGCAUUCGAUACUGGGAAGCUAGAGUAUGGGAGAGGAUGGGUAGAAUUCCAGGUGUAGCGGUGAAAUGCGUAGAGAUCUGGAGGAAUACCGAUGGCGAAGGCAGCCAUCUGGCCUAAUACUGACGCUGAGGUACGAAAGCAUGGGGAGCAAACAGGAUUAGAUACCCUAGU
rnacentral:rRNA from 1 species